GAUGAACGCUGGCGGCGUGCCUAAUACAUGCAAGUCGAGCGAAUGGAUUGAGAGCUUGCUCUCAAGAAGUUAGCGGCGGACGGGUGAGUAACACGUGGGUAACCUGCCCAUAAGACUGGGAUAACUCCGGGAAACCGGGGCUAAUACCGGAUAAUAUUUUGAACUGCAUGGUUCGAAAUUGAAAGGCGGCUUCGGCUGUCACUUAUGGAUGGACCCGCGUCGCAUUAGCUAGUUGGUGAGGUAACGGCUCACCAAGGCAACGAUGCGUAGCCGGCCUGAGAGGGUGAUCGGCCACACUGGGACUGGGACACGGCCCGGACUCCUACGGGAGGCAGCAGUAGGGAAUCUUCCGCAAUGGACGAAAGUCUGACGGAGCAACGCCGCGUGAGUGAUGAAGGCUUUCGGGUCGUAAAACUCUGUUGUUAGGGAAGAACAAGUGCUAGUUGAAUAAGCUGGCACCUUGACGGUACCUAACCAGAAAGCCACGGCUAACUACGUGCCAGCCGCCGCAGUAA
rnacentral:rRNA from 1 species